CUAAAAGCAACCGCCUUAAGGAGUUCCUACCUUCUUCAUUUAUUGUAGGAUGACCAAGAAAUGUCCGUGGUAAAUCCUGCCUUAGUAAAAGAGAUUAGUUCACUAACAAGAAAUGGGACCACAAUAUAUAUAGAGUUACAAAGGGUGGAACAAAAGAUACAUAAAGAUGAAAUUUUUGGUUAUGAUAUAGUGAGCUCUUUGGAGGGAAAAUAUGUGGUGUUGCUGCUAUAAAUGCACUUUGAGUUUGGGAUUGAUGUUGGGCAUGUUGAUGUCAAACUACAACUAGGGUUUCCUGGCCGUAUAGCUAGCUUAUGGAAGCAAGCUGGCUGGGAGGACUCGAAUAAGGCAACAACGAUCACAUGCUAUAUAUGUUCCAUUUGAAGGAACUUUAUAUCAUUGUUUUAUGAAAUAACAUCAUAAAUUCUUUGAACAAAGCAAGCAGUUCCCACUGACUAAACCAAAAGGAAGAGCAGCUACCUACACCUGGACAACUUUAACAAAAACACAUUGCCCAAGUGAAUGUUGCCACGUGGAUGCGAACAACACAUUGCCCAAGUGAAUGUUGCCACGUGAAUGCUAACAACCCGCAGGUGCUUGAACAACACUUGAUCUGUGCAUCUCUUGAAUACGCACCAAGUGUGGUUCAUGAUAAAAAAAUACUUUGGUCCUACACUAGAAAUUUCUAUACUGCAACUCAAAAGUAAGGAAUGCGUUGAUACAUAUCCAUCUAGGGGUCUCACUGCUGAAUGUGAUCUACA